CCUGGAUGAUAGACCCCCUUGUCUCUACUACCUGGCUCCUGGGUUUUGUUUUAGGAAUCCUAGCUGUGGGGUUUUUUUGUUUAUUGUAAGCUGCUCUAAGCCUUCUGGAUAGGAAAGUGUUUGGGCACAAACACCCUUCAUUUGGCUGAGGAAGAGGCUUUUGCUUGGUGACACGGUGGCUGUUUCCCAGCUCUCCCUCCCUUCAAGAGUGGAAAUUAAGUUCCAAGAUGGCACUCCCCCAAAAGGAGUAUUUCUGGGGCAAGAGGAGAGACUUCCAGUGGCAAAGUUCAGGGGUUAGGGAUGGGACUUCUGGUCCCAAGAUGGCGACCAGGGGCAGGGCACCUGUCAAUGGGUGGGGCUACCCUUGUGGCCCUCAACAACUCACGAAAGCUUAAGCAACCCUUCAGCUGAAGUAAUUGCCCACUCCUGCCUUCUGAGGUUCCUUUCAGCCCCACUUUCCUAUGAGCCUAAGUGAAUACUAUUGCAAAUCACUUUUUAGUGUUUGCCUGCAAGCGAGAGAAGAAUAUAUUAUUUCUUUUCAAUUGCUUAGAAAGUGUGUUCUUUAAAAUUACUUGGGUUUUCUUGUGACUGGCUUGGAAAAUGGUAGAACACUUCAAAAAGUAGCUCUACGAACAAAACUUUGCUGGAAAAAUUGUGAACAUUGGUGUGGUGCUGGUCAUACCUGUAAGAAAUGAACUAUAGUAAUGACCCAAAACAAUCAGUUUUGAUGUGCAUUUGUGUGUUUUGUCCUCUGUAAUGGAAAGUAUAUAAAACUGUUAGUGAAUAGAUACGACAACAGCUAGGGUGCAGCAGGCAUACCAGAGAGAGAUUUGAGACAAAGAUGACAAACUCUUGUUUUCUUUUACCAAAAAGAUUGUAUGACAGUCAGGAGCAAGUAUUAUUAGAGGGCAAAGGGUCAGAAAAGCAAUAGGCAGAUAAGCAGAUAAAACAUUGGUGGAACUGUAUCACAUACUGGAUGAAUCUCUGAAUUAAUGAUCAAACAAUGUUAUGGAAAGAUGGAAGGGACUUGAAAAAUGCUUUUGCAUUGUCCUAUCACCAGUUCCUCAUAUUAAAGAUUACCUGCUGCACCUCCUAGAAAUCCAAAGUAACAGCAUUCACCAGUAUUACAGAAAAAAUAACGGCUAACAAAGCUUCAGAAAUGUAUCGUCUUUGACUAGGCUAUACCAUGGCUCUUUUGUCAAAAUUGUCCAAUCAGGUGAAUGUAGCAUAAUAUUUGAACUAUUUUGUUAAACUGUUGAAUAAUGCAGAUCAUUAGUACAAAGAAAGCAUCCUCCUCUGAAGCUAUAGCCUUAUAAUUUUUUUAAUAAGGUUGAAGACAACCUCAGAUACAUUGAUUUUUAAAACAAAUUUAAGCUAUUUUGCUUGGUGAAGCAUUAAUUCUAUGGUGUUAACAGAUGAUUUUUUUAUGCAAAGGGAUUCAUAAAUUAUUGGUGCAGAUCACCUUUUCAGUCUGCUACAGCAUGUGAAAUAGAUUUUUGGCCAAAAUGUGAUUUCUCUUACAGGGAUGCAAAUCCAAAAUAAAUCCAGUGAAUUCAUCAGCAAAAGUAUUCUGAAUGACACUGAUGCAAUUGAAUAGAAUGUUGUCCAUUUUUGUCUAGAAUUAGGGCACACAGGCAAGCCAGAAUAAAAUAGUGUGCUUGUUUCAUACCCUAACUGAAAUGUAAUAGCUGUUACUCUCUCUACUAUAAUAAUUAAAGGGUUUUUAAUUGA